GGAAGGAGGAAGAUCCCUAUUUCUAUUAUUCUUAUAGCUGUAAUGCUACCACACUAAAACCUCUGGGAGAAAUCUUGCUGCCAUAUUAUGAAAUGCUGCCAUAUUGUGAAAUCCUGCCAAAGAAUGCAAAAGCAAAGAAAAGCAGAAUAGGAGAUGACACUGACUAAUUCACCAACUAGCUCUGCCAAAGUAAUAUACAAAGGAGGCCGGGGACAGCUUGAUGAUCUCCAAUGAAGCCAUGAAUGUUAAUAGGUACACGGUUCUCCUAAGGAUAGGCCAGUUGGCCAGUUCCUAUCCAGAAGCAUUUAUAAGCCCAUCCAGAUUCAAGGCAUGGGAUGUAUACCCAUCUCUACAGCAAGACUGUCAAAGAACACGCAGCCCAGUUUUACACCAUCCACCAUUCUCGUGGAAAAUGAUGCUCUCUGGACUAUGUCUGGAGGAAGCUAGAUAGCACCAGAACUGGAUGGAGAACAGCUGGAGUCCAACAGAUCUCAGCCAGAGAUGUUCAGGGAGCCCUUAGAAGUGGGCUGGCAGAGUCAGACAUGGUGGAGAAGGAAAAAAAUAAAAACUACAG